AACGAACGCUGGCGGCAGGCCUAACACAUGCAAGUCGAACGGGCGUAGCAAUACGUUAGUGGCGCACGGGAGAGUAACGCGUGGGAACCUACCUUUUGGUUCGGGAUAACGUCGGGAAACUGACGCUAAUACCGGAUAAGCCCCAUGGGGGAAAGAUUUAUCGCCGAUAGAUGGGCCCGCGUUAGAUUAGCUAGUUGGUGAGGUAAUGGCUCACCAAGGCAACGAUCUAUAGCUGGUCUGAGAGGAUGACCAGCCUCACUGGGACUGAGACACGGCCCAGACUCCUACGGGAGGCAGCAGUGGGGAAUAUUGGACAAUGGGGGAGACCCUGAUCCAGCCAUGCCGCGUGAAUGAUGAAGGCCUUCGGGUUGUAAAGUUCUUUUGGUGGGGACGAUGAUGACGGUACCCACAGAAUAAGCUCCGGCUAACUUCGUGCCAGCCGCCGCGGUAA
rnacentral:rRNA from 1 species